GACGAACGCUGGCGGCGUGCUUAACACAUGCAAGUCGAACGGAAAGGCCCUGCUUUUGUGGGGUGCUCGAGGGGCGAACGGGUGAGUAACACGUGAGUAACCUGCCCUUGACUUUGGGGGGACUUCAGGAAACUGGGGCUAAUACCGGAUCGGAGCUCCUGCUGCAUGGUGGGGGUUGGAACUUUUCGGCGGGAGGGGCUGGACGCGCGGCUUAUCAGCUUGUUGGUGGGGUAGUGGCUUACCAAGGCUUUGAAUGGUAGCCGGCCUGGGAGCGUGACCGGCGUCAAGAGUACUGAGAGACGGACCAGUCUCCAACGGGGGGCAGUAGUGGGGAAUAUUGCACAAUGGGAGGAAGUCUGAGGCAGCAACGCCGGGUGUGGAAUGACGGUCUGCGGGGAGUAAACCGCUUCCGCUUGUUACGAAGCUGGAGUGACGGUAAUGGGUAAAUAAGCACCGGCUAACUACGUG
rnacentral:rRNA from 1 species